AAAAAACAGUGUCCAAGAAUAUAAUGACUUGAAGAGGCUCUGGGAAGCUUCCAGAGGGGCAAUGACCCUGCAGCUGAACUAGGCUUCAAGCACUGCUGCUAGUACAUGAGGACUCCGCAGCUAUCGCCUUCACCGGAUGCAGCAGAGAGGGGGCUCCAAAGUCUUCUGAUGCCUUGAUCUUGGAUUGUGAACCCCCAGAGCCAUAGGAAAUAAAUCUUUGUUGUUUA